GACGAACGCUGGCGGCGUGCUUAACACAUGCAAGUCGAGCGGUAAGGCCCUUUCGGGGGUACACGAGCGGCGAACGGGUGAGUAACACGUGGGUGACCUGCCCUCAGCUCUGGGAUAAGCCUGGGAAACCGGGUCUAAUACUGGAUAUGACUCCACGGUGCAUGUCGUGGGGUGGAAAGCCUUGUGCGGCUGAGGAUGGGCCCGCGGCCUAUCAGCUUGUUGGUGGGGNGAUGGCCUACCAAGGCGACGACGGGUAGCCGGCCUGAGAGGGCGACCGGCCACACUGGGACUGAGACACGGCCCAGACUCCUACGGGAGGCAGCAGUGGGGAAUCUUGCGCAAUGGGCGAAAGCCUGACGCAGCGACGCCGCGUGAGGGAUGACGGCC
rnacentral:rRNA from 1 species